AAAUUGAAGAGUUUGAUCAUGGCUCAGAUUGAACGCUGGCGGCAGGCCUAACACAUGCAAGUCGAGCGGUAGCACAGAGAGCUUGCUCUCGGGUGACGAGCGGCGGACGGGUGAGUAAUGUCUGGGAAACUGCCUGAUGGAGGGGGAUAACUACUGGAAACGGUAGCUAAUACCGCAUAAUGUCGCAAGACCAAA
rnacentral:rRNA from 1 species